rnacentral:rRNA from 1 species
CCCAGACUCCUACGGGAGGCAGCAGUGGGGAAUAUUGCACAAUGGGCGAAAGCCUGAUGCAGCGACGCCGCGUGAGGGAUGACGGCCUUCNGGGUUGUAAACCUCUUUCAGCAGGGACGAAGCGCAAGUGACGGUACCUGCAGAAGAAGCACCGGCUAACUACGUGCCAGCAGCCGCGGUAAUACGUAGGGUGCAAGCGUUGUCCGGAAUUACUGGGCGUAAAGAGUUCGUAGGCGGUUUGUCGCGUCGUUUGUGAAAACCAGCAGCUCAACUGCUGGCUUGCAGGCGAUACGGGCAGACUUGAGUACUGCAGGGGAGACUGGAAUUCCUGGUGUAGCGGUGAAAUGCGCAGAUAUCAGGAGGAACACCGGUGGCGAAGGCGGGUCUCUGGGCAGUAACUGACGCUGAGGAACGAAAGCGUGGGUAGCGAACAGGAUUAGAUACCCUGGUAGUCCA